rnacentral:rRNA from 1 species
UACGUAGGGACCAAGCGUUGUCCGGAAUUCAUUGGGCGUAAAGCGCGCGUAGGUGGCCAUUUAAGUCCGCUGUGAAAGAUCAAAGGCUCAACCUUUGAAAGCCGGUGGAUACUGGAUGGCUAGAGUACGGAAGAGGCGAGUGGAAUUCCUGGUGUAGCGGUGGAAUGCGCAGAUAAUCGAGGAGGAACACCCAUGGCGAAGGCAGCUCCCGUGGCUCGACCCUGACGCUGAGGCGCGAAAGCGUGGGGAGCGAACGGG